rnacentral:rRNA from 1 species
CCAAGUCCGAGCGAAUGGAUUAAGAGCUUGCUCUUAUGAAGUUAGCGGCGGACGGGUGAGUAACACGUGGGUAACCUGCCCAUAAGACUGGGAUAACUCCGGGAAACCGGGGCUAAUACCGGAUAACAUUUUGAACCGCAUGGUUCGAAAUUGAAAGGCGGCUUCGGCUGUCACUUAUGGAUGGACCCGCGUCGCAUUAGCUAGUUGGUGAGGUAACGGCUCACCAAGGCAACGAUGCGUAGCCGACCUGAGAGGGUGAUCGGCCACACUGGGACUGAGACACGGCCCAGACUCCUACGGGAGGCAGCAGUAGGGAAUCUUCCGCAAUGGACGAAAGUCUGACGGAGCAACGCCGCGUGAGUGAUGAAGGCUUUCGGGUCGUAAAACUCUGUUGUUAGGGAAGAACAAGUGCUAGUUGAAUAAGCUGGCACCUUGACGGUACCUAACCAGAAAGCCACGGCUAACUACGUGCCAGCAGCCGCGGUAAUACGUAGGUGGCAAGCGUUAUCCGGAAUUAUUGGGCGUAAAGCGCGCGCAGGUGGUUUCUUAAGUCUGAUGUGAAAGCCCACGGCUCAACCGUGGAGGGUCAUUGGAAACUGGGAGACUUGAGUGCAGAAGAGGAAAGUGGAAUUCCAUGUGUAGCGGUGAAAUGCGUAGAGAUAUGGAGGAACACCAGUGGCGAAGGCGACUUUCUGGUCUGUAACUGACACUGAGGCGCGAAAGCGUGGGGAGCAAACAGGAUUAGAUACCUUGGGUAGUCAC